rnacentral:rRNA from 1 species
UACGAAGGGGGCUAGCGUUGCUCGGAAUCACUGGGCGUAAAGGGUGCGUAGGCGGGUUUUUAAGUCAGAGGUGAAAUCCUGGAGCUCAACUCCAGAACUGCCUUUGAUACUGAAAGUCUUGAGUAUGGGAGAGGUGAGUGGAACUGCGAGUGUAGAGGUGAAAUUCGUAGAUAUUCGCAAGAACACCAGUGGCGAAGGCGGCUCACUGGCCCAUAACUGACGCUGAGGCACGAAAAGCGUGGGGGAGCAAACAGG